UUGUGUCCCAUGGAGCCGGUCUCCCUCGCGGGCGGUGAUGUUCCAGAGCCGUCUGGGUGCCCUCCUGUGCCUCGAGCUCUGGGGAGACCCUGCUCAAGCAGGGAGGUUGGAGCAGAUGAGCCACUGUGGUCCCUUUCAGCUUGAACCGUGCUGUGACUCUUUGAUUCUCCAGUUUUCCAAUUCUGUGGAUCGCGGAAUGAGUCAGGCAGGACGGCACCACAGUUCUCACCGGCUCCAACUCCCUGCCCGAGCAGGAGGCACAGGAUGGCAUCCAGAUGGCUCUGGAGCAUCGCCCGGGAGGGAGGCUCCGCAAUCUCUCUGGGCAAUCUGUACAAGUGUGCGGUCACCCACAGAGAAAAGUUCUUCCUCGUAUUCAGGUAGAACUUUCUGUGCGUCAUCCUGUCCCUGUGAUUGUGAUCCGAGAUCAGCUCCGAUGUCCAGCACAAUCCAGCUUCCCUGUCAAUAAAUUCUUAAUUGUCCGUGAAAAUCUCAGGUGGGUGCAGGACCUUCCCGGUGGUUUUACACCUAGACAGUCACAUUGGAAAAAUGCCAUAGACUUCCUCCAGCAACACACGGUGGGAUCCAAGCCCGAGCCUGCAGUGCCCGGGUGAGUGAAGAACCUCUGGGCGUUCCACAUCCCUCCACAGGAACUCCGAGCUGCAGGAAAAUGUUCACCAGCUGUGCCACUCCACUUCUCAGGGUGUGGAUUCAGAUGUAGUUCACCAUCUUAGCAGAAAAGACAAACCUUCAGAGAUUCAUUACCUCAAGGAGUACUUUAAAUAAAAGUGAACGAAUCAUGAGAGGCUUGGCAGGGAAAAGGAGUACAGAUGAAUGAGGCAGAGCGUGGUGUGGUGCUACAUCUAUGCGCAUGAUGUUUGUCUCCAGAAAUCUUCUGUUACAUCAAAAAAAAGAAGGAAAAGUAAUUAAUAAAGGCUUAUAAAGGGCAUGA